CUCCAUUAGAAUCCACUGGAGGUGUUGUGGAUCCAAACCGACUAGCUGACGUCCUCUGUGAAGGAUCAAAAUAUAAACUUUUCAGAGCCACAUUUCAAGCCUACAGAUGGAAGUGACGGUAGUGGCAGUGGGGAGAACCCGUAUCUCUGUUCAACGAUGCUUUGCUCCUGCUCAUGGCACCCCCCACAACGCUAGAUGGAAGUAUCAUACGUGAUUGGACCAAGUUUUACCUUUUAAAAGAGUGCGCAUCCAGAGGUCUGGUAAGCUCCCUUCUUUUCUAACUCUACAACCCAAGAUGUGUACGAGCUUACACCGGUCUGAUUUUAUGCCAAUGGGUUGAACCGGGCGUUUGUCACUGUGACACGUUCUGGCAAAUCAAAAAACGACACCAGCGACCGGUGAUGGCGUCAGGGCACUAAAUCCAGCUUAUAUUGUGUUAGUGAUAAGCAAAAUGACCACGUGAUAAACAUAAUAUUGGCUGUAUUCGAAACCGCAUACUAUACUCAAAUAAAAAAAAUAAAAAUCAGUAUAUACUGAUUUGGCCAAAAUGUAGCAUGUAGUAUGCAAACAAAAGCGGCUGCCCCGGUAGACUACCGGACGUCUUCCCUUAAAAAAUGUAACGUUACGCCAUACCGUACAGUGAGCUUUCCCCCGCCGUAGUCGCGUAACGUUACAACAAUUUAGAGCCGUAACAAUGUCUUUCAUCAUUUUUAAGUUUUAAGGCAUAAUUGCUAUAUAUAUUUAAAUAUUUCCUUACAGUGUGGGUCGAUCACCCUGUUGUUGAUCAGCUCAUUUUUAAUCGAUCUGCGGAGCAUUACAGCACGCCAUCAUAACCACCUGCUGCUUUGCUAGCGUUGUGUGACUAAAAUGCUUUUCCCCCUCAGGCCUGGAUCCAUAAUCUCCUUCUGUUUUUAGCAAAGACAUAUGAUCCCCUCGGAAUAUUACACAUUUUCAAUCCAUCUUUUCUGCGGUUGGUGACUCUUUGUCAUCUCUGCUUUGGAGCUUGGCUCUGCUAGACAUGUCGUGCUUUCUGUCCCCCUAUAGCUGCCCGCUCAUCUCUGUGAUGAGAUUGCACAGAAACCCGUCUAUAUAACUGGCGUUCCCUCUGGGGGAACUUCUAUUUCGCCUGGUCUCAUCCUGCAUAGGAGACUCCUGCUGUGUAUUCUCCCCGUUUCUUUCCCUCUGAUAGAGAGCAGUGAUUGUGGUGAGCAGAGGGUUUGCAGUAGAGAUAUUAGGUGUGUGUUAACGUUACAACCCCGUUUUUCUCGGGUUAGGGUUUACUCACUAAUAACAGUCUCCGAUGUCAGUGGAAAGAUCGGUUCUGUCUCCUGAGGUCAGAUUUAUUGUGCUUGUGGGUUCGGGGCGACUUAAGAGUCAUCAUGUGUCUGCAGUGACUGUUCAUUCUUCACUUGGAGAUGAAAUGUUUCUGAUGUCCAGAGGCAUAUAAAGCUGCUGCUGCUGCAAAAAGUUGGAUUAGCACAUUCUAAGAAGGAGUCAAAGGAGAAGUCGGGUUAAAAAAAACAACUGUCAAAUAAAUUUGAAUUUGUUGUUUUUCUGAAA